GCCAGGUGUGGUGGCGCAAGCCUGUAAUCCGAGCUACUCAGGAGGCUGAGGCAGGAGAAUCGCUUGAACCUGGGAGGUGGAGGUUGCAGUGAGCCAAGAUCGCGCCACUGCACUCUAGCCUGGGUGACAGAGCGAGACUCUGUCUCAA
rnacentral:SRP_RNA from 1 species